rnacentral:rRNA from 1 species
UACGGAGGGUGCAAGCGUUGUCCGGAUUUAUUGGGUUUAAAGGGUGCGUAGGCGGCCUUUUAAGUCAGCGGUGAAAGCCCGGGGCUCAACCCCGGAACCGCCGUUGAUACUGGAAGGCUUGAGUACAGACGAGGUAGGCGGAAUUGAGGGUGUAGCGGUGAAAUGCUUAGAUACCCUCAAGAACACCGAUUGCGUAGGCAGCUUACUAGGCUGUGACUGACGCUGAGGCACGAAAGCGUGGGGAGCGAACAGG